UCAUUGCACACACAUAUUGAUGACAGACAAACCCCUAGCGAAUUUCAACAUUGUCCCCCCUUGGCCGGUUCUGCUCCCUUGUGGGCCCGGCCAGCCCAAGUUCCCCCCCGCCUGAACCCGGGACUUGUUACUUGGGGCUCUUUUCCUUCCUUCCUUCCUUCCUUCCUUCCUUCCUUCCUUCCUUUGGUGGUGGGGAGGAGGAGGAGGGGGAGAGUCUCAGGGACCGAGAGCACCCCCGUGUUUGGUUGGGUUCCGGGGACUUGGUGUUUCCAAACCGGAUGGCGCAAUGCAUCAACACUUUCAAUAUGACUGAGUAUAAAAGUUGGGGCCCGCGCUCCCCCCCAUUUCCAUGGGGGGUCUGUGUGUGUCCCCGAGUUGUUGUGAUAAACAAAAACAACUCUCAGCAACGGAUAUCUUGGCUCCUGCAACGAUGAAGAACGCAGCGAAAUGCGAUACGUAGUGUGAAUUGCAGAAUUCCGCGAAUCAUCGAGUCUUUGAACGCAAGUUGCGCCCGAGGCUUGACCAAGGGCAUUUCUGUCAGAGCGUCACCGCGACACCCACCGGCCCCCACUCCCCGCGAGUGAGUGGGCCGAGUGAAACUGGCCGUCCCAGUGGAUGGGUUGGCUGAAAUGGAGGGAAUUUGGCCGCCGCGGUGACACCAGCCCGCGAUCAGGUGAUGAUCCAAGUCUUCUUCUUGGAACAGUUCAAUGUGUGUUGGCUGUGUGUCCCCCAGUUGGUACCGAGGAUUCCAGAGCAGGUCACCAUCCCCCCCGGGG
rnacentral:rRNA from 1 species